UACACUCCUGCGGGAGGCAGCAGUGGGGAAUUUUGGACAAUGGGCGAAAGCCUGAUCCAGCAAUGCCGCGUGAGUGAAGAAGGCCUUCGGGUUGUAAAGCUCUUUUGUCAGGGAAGAAACGGUGAGAGCUAAUAUCUCUUGCUAAUGACGGUACCUGAAGAAUAAGCACCGGCUAACUACGUGCCAGCAGCCGCGGUAAUACGUAGGGUGCAAGCGUUAAUCGGAAUUACUGGGCGUAAAGCGUGCGCAGGCGGUUUUGUAAGUCUGAUGUGAAAUCCCCGGGCUCAACCUGGGAAUUGCAGUGGAGACUGCAAGGCUAGAAUCUGGCAGAGGGGGGUAGAAUUCCACGUGUAGCAGUGAAAUGCGUAUAUAUGUGGAGGAACACCGAUGGCGAAGGCAGCCCCCUGGGUCAAGAUUGACGCUCAUGCACGAAAGCGUGGGGAGCAAACGGGAUGAGAUACCCCGGUAGUCCCA
rnacentral:rRNA from 1 species